CAUUGACAACUCGCGGGGAUUGUUUUCCACACCGUGGAAGCUUUGUUCUUUUCGUUUUUUGCAAUAAAUCUUGUUGCUGCUCGCUUUUUGGGUCCACAUUGCUUUUAUGAGCUGUACCACUCACCGUGAAGAUCUGCAGCUUCACUUCAGAGCCUAGCGAGACCACAAGCUCACUGAGAGGAACAAACAACUCCAGACGCGCUGUCUUAAGAGCUAUAACACUCACCGCGAAGGUGUGCAGUUUCACUCCUGAGCUAGUGAGACUACGAAGCCACUGGAACGAAGAAACUCCAACCACGUUUGAACAUCAGAAGGGGCAGACUCCAGACGCUUCAUCUUAAGAGCUGUAACACUCACUGUGAAGGUCUGCAGCUUCACUCCUGAGCCAGCGAGACCACGAACCGAUCUGAACAUCAGAAGGGACAGACUCCAGAUGCCCCACCUUAAGAGCUGUAAUACUCACUGCAAGGGUCUGCAGCUUCAUUCUUGAAGUCAGACCAAGAACCCAGCAAUUCCCAACACACAGGGACCAGCUUCUUUCCUAACUCACUUAGGCUCUUCGUGCUGCUCUGGCAACUAACACCCUUGGCUGCAGGGGCUUGGACACUACCCUUAGUCACUGACAAUUGUGUGAAGGCUGCUGUCGUUAACUUCACUUGAUCACCUUAGGCUCCUGUGAAGUGGUGAGCAAUUCAAACAAAUUCCUGUCGUCAAAUCAUAUGGAGAAAUUGCACUGCAGAGAAAUCUUUAAAAGCAAUUACCUAAUACUGCAGAUUGCUGAACUGUACCCACACCCAAGACUGAGCAUUGGAUCAAUCCAGAAUAUACAUCAGGUGUUCUGCAAUGUCUGCCUAAAACCAUGACUCUGCCUCCUCCAGCUGUUGCUACAUCUCACUAUGGGUUUCCUGUGACAUUUUGAGCAAGUAUGCCUCUGUGACUGGGGUUCUUACACUCCAGAAUGGAUGAGAAGCACCGUAAGUGGCUUUUAAAAUGAAUAUUCCCUGGCCCUUCAGUCGCUCUAUAGGUCAAGAAUCUGAAUUCUCAACCUGUCUAGAAGGUUCUGGUUUUAAUGGUCUGUGGGCUGCACAUUGAGAAACCUGUUCAGCGAGUGCAACAAAGGUUCCACAUGUGAGAAAGGAAGCAUCAGGUCUCUUGAGCCUGUUCUUUAAUCUGUAGGCUGCACCUUCUCUUUAAAUUCUGCUAAUAACACCAUGCGAGAAAACACCCGAGCUUGAAAAGCCCAUGUUCCAACAUAACUGUCCUUCACCACUCUGGAAAAUUAAUGGUUUGUUUCGAUUAUCCCUUUGUUAAACUCCAAAGUCAAAGAGCUCUGAAAGGCAUACGGUUAUUUUAAGUUUCAGGUGAUUUCUGUUGCCAAAUAUUUUAAAAAUUUAAAAUUGCUACGUGACCUCUUAGUAGUACUAUUAGAUUUCCUGACAAUAAAAAUAAGUCUUUUGGUUUCACCAUUUAUAGUUAGUACAGCUAAUAUUAAGUAUAAUUUUAAAAGCCUUUUAUUUUCUCAGAAAGAAAAAAUAAUCAAAAUCUGCUCAGUGUGGUAUUGAAUAAUUAAAAACAAAAGAACAGUAUCUUCACAUUAGUGUUUAAUAUUAAUUGCUUUUUUACCCUUGACACUGGUGCUAAUUAAAUUUUCAUUUUAUUUUCCAUGACUUGUUUAAACAGUUUUUGCAAAUUAUUGCUAAUCAGCCUAAUAAAACUGAAUCACCUAUUAAACAAUUUUGUUUUGAAUUAAAUGGCAUUAAAAUAAU
ensembl:lncRNA novel transcript